CAGUUUCAAUAAAACUUUCUUGUUCCACCACUACGCUUACUACCAAUACUGUGAUCUCAGAAAUGGAUGCCAAUAUGAACUCUGCAAGACUCUCAAUUGAACUUCCAUAUUCCUUGAGCUGAAGACCAAGAACAACACAGGGAAAUUGAGCUUCGGAAAACUCUUGCCUGUGGAUGAAUUGUCAUAACAUAUAUAUUGGCUUCAUGGCUUUUAUGCUUUCUAAAUAGCAGAAAAUUCUAUUGUGUGUAUAAGCCUGUGAAAAGCUUCCCAGAACUCAAUUGUCAGACACAUAAAAAUACUAUGUUAGACUAAAAGCAAAUCUCGUAUGCACUAAAAAGCUCGUACGUACCGACAUCCAAUCGGAGUAGUUCUGCACUAUGGCCUUCCUGCUCUGAACCCCAAACUACAAAUCCAGAGUGCUAACAUAGUCAAUCUGCAGAAGAUCGAGGUUUGAAAGAUGAAAUUGUCGACUAACAGUCACCGUUUAUAUAUAUCUGUGUACAAGAGCAGCUGGGAACAAGACUUGGUCAGCAAGCAGUCACUUGUGGUUUGGUUUAAAGUUUCUUUCUGACGAUUAAACAUAAUGAAGAAACCAACUGGUAUUGGUUAAUGUCUUAUCAAAAAAAAAAACUGGUAUUGGUUAAUGGUGCAUAUAGUCAAUGUUCGAAAAUUAAUGUCAAUUGGAUCGAGUUGAAAUGGCAUUGCAUGAUUAUUA